AUAAGAACUGAACUGCAGUAAUUGCAACGCCAUUUGGGGGAUUUCUAGUAACAGUGCAUUAAAUGCAGGAAACCCCACAAGGUAAAAAACUUGUAAACCGAAAAUAGGUUUAUGGGUGUAGUAAAUUUCACUAAGAAAAACGGAAACGAAUGACACCCAUAUAGCUAAAAACAACAAAUUCAGCUCCUUCUUGUGUGUCUUUAGUUCAAUUUUCAGAAUAAAAUGCUUGUAAACCGAAAAUGGGUUGAUGGGUAUGAUAAAUUUCACUAAGAAAAACGAUAAAGAAAGAAACCCAUAUAGCCGAAACAACAAAUGGAUGAACUAAUAGUGACAAUGAGUGUAAU
rnacentral:misc_RNA from 1 species